rnacentral:tRNA from 1 species
GCAGCUGGAUAGCUCAGCUGGUUAGAGCGUGGUGCUGAUAACACCAAGGCUGCAGGUUCGAUCCCUGCAAGGGGCAGCUGCG